rnacentral:lncRNA from 1 species
GUUUUAGCAACAUCAUCACGCACAAUAGUUUCAUGAGACAUAGGACGCAAAACAAUUUUCUUAUCAUUGUGUAUGAGGGAAUACUGAUUUGAUCUACCAUGAUGCAUACAAUCCGUAUCAAAUUGCCAUGGUCUACCUAGCAAAAUAUUACAAGCUUCCAUAGGUACAACGUCACAUUCAACAACAUCACGAUACGAGCCAAUAGCACAAUUAACUUGUACCAACUUUGUUACCUUUACCUUACCACUGUUGUUCAAACAUUGAAUGUGAUAUGGAUGUGGGUGCGGUUUCAUUGUAAGUGCAAGCUUCUCCACCAUAUCGCUGCUAGCCAAGUUGUUGCAACUACCUCCAUCAAU